GUUGGUGAACCAGCGGAGGGAUCAUUACAGAGUUUAACGACUCCCAAACCACUGUGAACAUACCCGUACCGUUGCCUCGGCGGGCGGCCCCAGGGCGAGGCCGCAGCCUCCCCAGCGGAGGCGCCCGCCGCAGGUCGCAAAACUAUAACUAUAUUUAGUGGCAUCUCUGAGUAACUUCCAAACAAUCAAAACUUUCAACAACGGAUCUCUUGGUUCUG
rnacentral:misc_RNA from 1 species